rnacentral:lncRNA from 1 species
AAAUCAUCAUUUAGACCGUUUUAGUUGACAAUAUGGCUAAUGAGCAGGUUGUGUUAGACAUGCAAUAGUACUUAUUCGGAUGCUGAAUAAUGCUUCCAUUUGACAAUGUGAUGCUUACUAAAACAGGAAGAAGUUGCUAUUGAAGGUGAAAUUGGAAAAGUAUACAGAGCAAGUUUUCAUGAUCGUUAUGGAAGGAGUGUUCUUAUAUUGAGACUUGGAAUGCAGGUAUUUAUCCAUCCUGUUGUUGCUAAUUUCUGUAGCUUUUAUUUGCUCUUCCUUAUUAACUUGGCAAUAAAUCUUGCAGAAUACUCAUGUACUGUUUGAUGAGGACUACAGCAUGUACUGGCGGAGGUCGGAACUCAUGAAAUACAAAGAUGGCGAACUCUCAUGGUUCAAUGCCAGAGUGAGAGUUGGAGUUGGAAUUGGGCUUGGCAUAUGCAUAGGAGUAGGGCUGCUGGUGCGUACUUACCAAGCAACUACUGGGAACUUUAGAAGGCGGCUCAUGUAGGACAUCGCCUCUCUAAGUUCUACACUACAAUCUGCGAUCUGCGGAUACCUCAUAGAUUCUGCCCUCCUGGCAUUCCAGUCCAAUGUGCUUUUCCCUUGUUGAAGGUUUUGGCUCAAAGUGUCUCAUUUCCAUGGUCGAGCGUGAGCAAAUUUUCGUGUGCUUUAUUUGUGGUAUCUUCUCUAUUUAGAGGGAGGCAAACGAUGUGUAGAUUCAAUGAAUCUUGAGGGCAGUUGAGUUGAGUUUUAGUUUGGAGAACAAUGUGUGUGGUGCUAGUGUGGCCAAGCAGGAGUCUGCCGUGCUCUCGGGUAUGCAUCUUGAACCUUGAAAUCAGUCACUGAGCUUUUCAAUCUUGAUUACCACCAUUUUCCUGCUUGAUAUGUUCAAAUAUGUUCUGAUUAGAAAAUUAACUUCAAUCCAUAUGUAGGAAAUACCGAUGAUAUGUUACUGUGCAUAUUUAUUACCCCAUGUUGCAAAGUGAAUGAACUAUUUUAAAGAGUAAACUAAAGGUUACUACCAGUGCAUUCUGCUUGUAAGGUGUUCUUCGCUGAUGGUUAUUGUGAUAUCUGGUGUAAGUAGAUGAUAGAUGAUUGAUGUGUUCGAAUUUUAGGAGCCUCUCCUUCAUCUUAUGCACCAACAUGUUUGUUUUGAAUUAGCAAGAUUUUGUGCUAGAGGUCAUCAAAUCUUUGAAGUCAUCGUGAGCCCUUUCAAGCUUUUGGUUCUUUCAUUUGUCAAGUAGCAUAGUCUUGGUCAGUUAUAAACAUUCUGUGUACUUGGUUGAGCCACCUGUUGUUUAUCAGUUCCUAGAAAUUUCCUCUUCUCCUUCAUGGAAGGAAAAUUGAAGAGAAAUUUAUGAUAGAAAUUAGUUUAUAAGUUUCUGCUGCUGUCUUUUUGCAUGUUGCCUGAUACCAAUUUUAACUGUUGUGUUGUAGAACCCCUGCCGCUGGGUUCCCUGUUUUGGUUCCUAUGCAUCACAUGCCUAUUUACCCUGCCCCCGCUGCUCCUGUUGGCACUGGAAGCAGUGUUGCAGAAAACGCAGGAAAGGGAAAUCCGAAACCUCUGGCAGCUUUGGAUCGUGUGGGGGUACAAACCUUCGACAAGAGCAGGAGAUACAAAGCAUCAAGGACGAAGAUGAAGGCGGGAUUUUUGCUGUCCCGAGUUUUGGCAUAGGCUGAUUCUCUUCUUUGCGACUCUCGACUGAUUUCCCGCAUCGGGGUUCGCCUUUGUUUCUCGUUCCGUGGUCUAAAAUGGUGUAAGAUACUGGAAUAAUUGGCUAGGAGAUGAGGACUUUCUGAGUAGAUCCGAGCUUUUUAUGUAAAUCCCCCCAGAACCACACCCAUGAUUAGCCCGUAUGAUUAUAGUAGUUGCUUUGCCUAAGUGGGUUCAUGAUUUGGUUCAGCGCCUUCUUGUGUGUCCUUUAAGCGGAAAAAUGCAGGAAAGGGAAAUCCGAAACCUCUUAAGCGUGAUAUGUUGCCGCAUUUCAGCCCUCUCUACCAGCGGUUGCCACCUACCACCGCCACGGGCGGCGAUGGUGGUACACCUCUUUCAGCAAUGGUUUGGUCUCCCGUUGGAUAGGAAGGACUGCCAAGGGGACAUAAAAUCAUUUGAGUUUUUCCUCUUUCUUUGUCCUAGACUUGAACUGUUUUUCCUUUUCUCUGCUCAAAUCGAAUACAAAGUGACCGAUUCCUUUCAAUUUUUCUUUCUUUUUCUUCAGUGAAUAUCUAUUUGAAAAUCAAAUAGGUCUUCUCUUUCGUUUUCUCUUCUUGCGUUUCUCUUCUUAUGUUGUUAUCAUCGAGAGUCCAUUUUUUACCCUCAUCUCUAUCAGAACGAAACAGAGUUGGCAAUCUCAGAUUGAGAUCUCUCCGUUCUAAAAUUGGAUCAAGCUGUGUUUGACCAGAGGGCAACAUGGAGUUAAGAUGGAACAAAAUGAGGGAUUGAAAAUUACAAUCCUCAAACUUUUUUUAUAUCAAAUCACUUAUCCGACGACUCAUUUCAUAUAUAAUCAUACUCGAACUUCUUUAUAUCAAAUCACUUAUCCGACGACUCGUUUCAUAUAUAAUUGUACGUACUAUGGAUGCUUUCUAAUAUAAAUUACUGAAAAAUUACAAUAUAAAAUACUAGGAUUAGAAAAGAAAUCAAACAAACAAAAAGAAAACCUAGACCUAAUGACUGCCCCUGAAACUCUAGGAUAACAGCCCCGUCCUCCUCGAUGGCGGGCGACACCAACACCACAACGACCCCCAUGGUGGCGGUCGUCUCCGUCGCAAUGGUCACUUAAGACUGUCGUAAUUGAUUCUCCAUCUCACGCGCACCCGUGAGAGAUACAAAGGCGACCACCGCAUACCAUUCAGGUGAGAGGUAGAGAGAUAGCGAGUGAGAGAGAUGGCCACGCAAUAAAUAGCACAAUAACACAUGGCGAACAAAAAAUUUAACUCAACUAACAAGAGAAUAAUAUAACCAACCAACUCUGGUGCGAACAUUUAAACUCCAGCUUGAAAUGAAUAUUCACAAUACCUCUUCAGCUUUCAAGGCGACUCCGAUUGAAUCGUUGACAUAAGAUAAGGGCACUUCCAUAUUGUAUAGGGACAAAUCCGGAUAAACGAAUGACUCCCCAUUAGAGUAUAUCACUUCAACUGGUUCAACUUCAUACUUCUUCCCACAGUAUGCUGAGAAGAUUGUCACCUAAAGGAAAACACUUGCCCGCAUUAGUCCUCUAUACAGAAGGAUGGGUGUAGAGAGAAGGACAAGCAAUUGAGUAUGCUCACCAUUGUAUUUAGAACUAUCUUAGCCUUUGUUAAGUCCGUCGCAGUACAUUCAAUGAGAACAUUUUUCGUCUUUGAAGUUAUUGCCGAAUGUGCACCAUUGAUAAUUGGCGGCAGAGACAGGAUAGUUCUGCAUGGAGUAAAAAAUUUGCCUUUUCAGUGAUGAGAAGCUUAGUAAACUGUAUCAUUUCAGUCAGUGUAGAUGCUCGCUAAUCAAUCAGACUAUACAUCACAAAUAUCUGUCAAAUUGUUGAUUGCAAGACACCCAAAAAGUGGAUGAAGCAUCACUUUGCCCACACUGUUUGGCUAUGACAGCUAAAUAGUCGCUACAAUUUGUUCACAUUGAGCAUAUUCAAUGGGAACCAAAAUUGUGAAGCCAAUGGCAACGGUGUAAUCUAUCAGCAACUGGAGUAACCAAAUAUCAUUGAACCUGAAUGAGCUUGAUUAGAACCCCAUGUGCAAAAAAAUUCGAAACCAAUCUUUUUAAAAGGCUGACCCCUGUUCAAACAGGAUAAACAGCUUAAUGGUCAACCAUAAUUGGUUGUUGCCUAAUUAAUACAUUACCAAUAAACAUCAGUCUACAGCUAAUCAAGAAUUUUUGUACUACAUUAUAGCAUCUUUCUUAUUGACAUUAGGCACUUGCUUUCCCAUAUCAAAUUUUGUGACACCGCAUGCAAAAGUUCUUUUUCCUGAUAUGGUACCUAGCAACCGGCUAUGAAGCACGGACACGUUGUCCGUGCUUCCGUGUCGUGUCCGACACGUGUCGGAGCGUGUCGGACACGUCGACACGCUCGGACACGGUCGGACACGCGUUGACCGCGUGUCCAAUUUUUCGACACGCGGUCAACAUUUUUCGACACGUGUCCGGAAGCCUGACGGAGGGUGGAGGCCAGGGAGGGCGAGGGAGAAGAGGCCGCGAGCGAUGGCGAGACGAAGCCGCGCAACGGACCACUGUGACGGCGAGAGAGAGCAGCCGCCACUGUUGCGAUGGAUCGGCGAGGAGGAGGAGGAGGAGGAGGAGAAGGAUCAAGAGGAAGGGGAUCGUGCGGCGGGCGGCGUGCGGUGAGCGGCGAGAAGGAGGAGGAAAAGUUCGCCGAGAAAGAGGAGGAAAAGUUUGCUAGGGUUUUUAUGAGGGAAUAAAAAAUAAUAAUAAAAGGGGGACGAUGGAGGGAAAUGGACGAAGGAAGUGGCGUGGCUUUUGAGUUUUGGGGGAGGGGAAGUGACAGGUUGACAACCUGUCUGUCAGGGGAGGGAAAAAAUGUAAAAUAAAUUUGGGGUGGAGGGAAAUGGACGGAGGAAAAAAGGGGUGGAUUUUGGGGAUUUGUUUUUUUAAUGGGAAAAUCAAAUAAAUGAGAUUAACAAAUAAUUUCAAAAAAUAAAAGUAUUGAACUUUGGAUAAUGAUAAAUUUUGAUUAUUAUAGAAAAUUAUAGAUUUAUUUAAAUAAAUUGAUUCUAAUUUUUUUUAUUAAUUAUUAGUUUCAUCAAUAAUUUUUGUUAAAGGUAAAAACAUGUUUCGCAUUAACUAUAAAUAUAUUUUUUGAAUUUUUAAUGAAUUGAUUUAUUAAUAUUAUCAGUGUAUUUAUUAUAGGCUCUUUUUUUAAUUAAUUAAUUAUUUAUGAAUUUGAAUUAAAUUAAUUGAAAAUAAAAAUAUUUAUUUAAUAUACAACGUGUCGCAACGUGUCGGAAUUCUCUGUUUUUUAGAAAUGACGUGUCGACGUGUCGUGUCGUGUCGGACACUCGUGUCGUGUCCCGUGUCGGUGCUACAUAGGCAACCGGUGGAGAGAGAGAUGAAAUAAGAAUGGAGUGCUAAGUUCAGUGUAAAGGUGUACAUAGGAAAGACAAUGUUCAAAGAAAAGCAAAGAUGUAUAGAAGACUACACAUUUUCACCUUUUUCCCUGUCUCUCUUAGAAGUAAUGUUAUAGGCAUAAGACUAGGCUCUGGAAUCCGACUGUGCUAAUGUAGAGUCAACAGCUGCUUUUCUAAAAACUUCGCCCUUUUACUAAAAUAAUAUACCUCCUUUCUCAGUUUUGUUUAGAGAAAGGAACAAAAAGGGUCAAAGAACAUGACCUAAUUUCAUCUUUUUCCUUGAGGGAAUGCCUCAGAGAAUGACCAGCCUUACUUGAGGUGCUUUUGAAGUCGCCACAUUGGGUGCCUGCCCAGGCAACUCCAGUGCUUUUGAGAACACUAGUGACACCUAAACAGAACAGUUGAUCUCACUUCAACUCAUAAACGAGACCAAGCACUUAGUGGCUUAACGUGGCAGAAGAUGCUUGAAGGCCUAGAUUAUUUUCUCUUUGCAAAUUGAACCCAUUGCAUCGAUCAACCCCCAAAUAACUCAAGGUUGCAAUAUUAAUGACUUAAGUGGCAAUGGUUGAAUCAAAACUAAGUCAACAUGUCAUUACAUUUAAGUGGUUAUUUAUUAUUUUCCCUUAACAUCAAUAUACACACUUCAUAUUUAUACAUAGAACUCACAUUACAAAGAAGAGUGUAUGAAGAAACCAAGAUACCUCUUUGAAUCAUAGAUAACAUGGAACACAGGCGAGUUCUCUAUUAUGUGCAAGAACUUCUUCAAUUUUAAAUCUGACUGCAACAAAGUAGCGAAAAACAGGUAAAACAACAUGGCAAAAAUGAGGAACUAUUACAUAAUUCUUCAUUUACAGGAAGAAAUCAACUAGCACACUGAAUAAGCAAGUUCCAAGCAUAUAUGUAACAAAACAAAUAUGACAGUUAUAAAAAGACCAUUAAAAGGAGCAGCUAUUGAGGACCCACCUUAUAAAAUUCCAUUAGUUCAUUAGCUCUGAAGUUCUUCACCUAAUAUCAGAACAGAAACUAAGGCGCGAUCAGCCAACACAUCAAUCACAGUUCGUAGAGAAAACAAAACAAAUAUAUAAAUGAAAGCGAUCUCAUGAACUCAUAAGUGGCAUUGACAUGUUAAGCAUACUUAAUUUGGAAUAAUUCACUUUGCAAAAUAGUAAUUAGAAAUAACACGCCAAUGCAUUGGAAACUCCAAAAUUUCCUUUUUAGUUACUUAGUAAGUCUCCUUAGAGCACUGUUAACAAAAGGGCACUUGUUAAGCAUACUUAUUUUAUAUGAUUCACUUUCCAAAGAAAAAAUUAGAAAUACCACAAGAACAAUCUGUGCAUCCAAUUGAAAACCAUAAAAAUUUCUUAAUCAACUACUUAAGAAUUGCCCCUAGAGAACAGUUAACAAAAUCCUUACAAAUACAUAGAUCUUCACUACAGAUCAGACUCAUGGCACAUGCAUGAACAGAAAAAUACAAUCUUUAUCAUGAAACUACCUGCUUCAAGGGGACGAAACUUAUACUGGAAGGCGGCAAAGCCUGAGACCAAAGGAAAAGGAACAUGAGUUGGUGAUACGCUGCACUUCUCGUAACAUUUUAUCAUACUUUGCUCUAAGAAACAUUUAGCCAUAGCAGAUAUAUAACUCGUACAUAUUAAGAAGAAACAUUUAGCUGUAGCAAAUAUAUAACUCAUACAUAUUAAGCUAAACCAAUUAUGCAAUUCCUUGUCAUGUCUGUUUUCGUCGAUGCUUUAUCUAGUAGAUGAGCACUCCUGAUAGCAAAACAUAAUACUACGAAUUUUUGGGAUCAAAAUAGAGUAUCUCAGAUAUAUAUAGUAAUACCAUCCUCUGGGACAAGCUCAGAGGAUGACAAAACUUGAACUGGUCAAAGCUUGUCUAGCUAGCUGCAACUCCUUGAAAACAUGUAAUAGAUGCUGAGGCAAAGUGUAGGGUAGAAAGAAGCUUCAAGAGGGAAUCCUUCAGGCAUUUAAAUAUAUAGAGAGAAAAAAAGGAAAGAAUAGGUGAGCACAAGCUUCCAGCCUGGAUAACACUGUAUCAUGACAAGAUCCAUUAUGCCAGCAAUCUGAAAAUCUUCCAUUUAAGUUCUAGCUGGGCCUUAGCUUCAAGCGAGGAUAGUAGGACACGUGCAGAAUUCUUCAUUUUAGAUUCUAGUUUAGGCAAUUAGUUCAAACACACACCUCAUAGCUGAAGGGGCCUUCUAGCGUAUCCAAGUCAUGAGUCCCAAUUGCAACCAGUGUUCUUCGCCUAAAAUAUCGAGAGAAUCCGAGCAUGUCAAUCCAAGCAGAACAUUUUGAGGAUCUAGCAUAAGCACAAGCAUCUGAUGUACUAAGUGGAGGGAUUGGGGGGCUGGGCAUCUAUUACAUGCAAAUAAACAUCAAAUUGAAUAUAGAUCUCGAGGAUGAAAACUAGUUCAAGCAACAUAUCUAUCAUCACCACUUCACCAAAUUAUUCAAAACAACUCAGCGGAGUCCUCUCUCUUUACAUCCAGGCAUUUCUCACAAUUUAAAGCCCUCCUAAGGGUAAUAAUAUAUAUGGCCCCUACUGAGCACAUAGAGCAUAAGCAACAGUGAAGCCAUGACUUAUUUUAAAAAAAAUAAAAAUAAAUAAUGCUUCCCUCACAUCUUUAAUUUAUAAAGUAACAUUAUUUUAUCACACUAAAAUGCACGCUUGCAAAGACAAUUGGUUGCAUGCUGGAAAUUUUUUAAAACCAUUGCUCUGGACAAGCCAUAUAGGACGUUGCAUCUCAAUGUAAGAUCACGGUCUCUCUCACGUGUCUCUCUUCUUUACAUUUAAGGUGCAAAUGAACACAGUAAAAGCUUCUCAAAAAUGUGUUGUCCUCCCGCCACUCCCUCUCAAACCUAAAAUCUUGAAAUAGAGAAGGAAAACAGGUAUUAUGCUGCAUGUUAAAGAUCCAAAAAUGAAUACCGGCAAAUGCUCUGAUGGAGCUUGUCUUGAAGAUCAAUGAAGCUGUUAUAACUGGCUUCAUCAAAUGUUAUCCCUCUUAAGACAGCAGAAACAACGGAUGGAUGGAUUUGUGAGGUCUGCAACACAUAAAUGGUCACUCAAGUAAUAAACGAUUCCAGCAUAGAUCAAUCUAGACAGAUCAAUCCUCACAUAUCAGUACCUCUGGUUUUACAUGCAUCUUAAGCAUUGAUCCCCUGCUGAUGUUAUAAAGACUGUAUUGAGGUGUCUCCUCCUGCUUAUUGAAUACACAUAGGGCCUGAGCAAGCCCUUCGAGGCAAAGCAAGUCGUAUCUGUGCAUUUCCCAGAGGAUACCUUAUUAUUAUAAUAGUAUAGUCAUUUCUACAGUACAUGCACGAAUUUAUCAAGAAGAAUAAUCAUUAAUUACCAAUACAGACUAAAAUGAUGAUAAACCCGUCAUCUCUUUGAAAAGCUUGACUUAUAACUAAAUAAUGAAGUUUCUAGAUGACAUGAUUCAAAAUAAAGCCAACAGCAUUAAGGAGUCAAUAUUGCAACCUGUUGACCAAAUCUAAAAAGGCUUGGUACGUUUCUUGCCGACAAUAAUGCCUAUAAAAUUUGGGGAUUGACCCAUCUAGCAUGACAAAAUGUUGAACAUAAACUAAAUUCAAGAUCGACUCCUUUCGGGACCAUUAUCAUGAACCGGGAAUCCCAAGGGUCAGAAUAUCAACCCGCUUCCCCAUACAGCUAGAAUUCUUCACAAAGUGGUGAAAAAAUGUCCUAACUUGUACAAUCUUUCGAGACUAUUAAAGGAAACUAUUUACACAUAAGUAAGAAAAGCCUCGAUGCACACUAUAAAUGCUACAUCACAUGGACUACUAAAAAACUGAGCCUUUUUCAGGUGGUAAUGUGUUUAUGAAGUCUCUAAUUACAUGCAAUUGGUCCUUCACAUUGAUCGACAGAAAAGAUAACAAAAAAAAAAAAAAAACCUUGGGCAACAUCAUAACAUCAAAGAAAAGAUCGAACCACACAGCAUCUCGAUAGCCAUUACGAGCAACAUGGUCCGCGAAAGACUUUAACCCAUCCGAAGUCGGACACUAGCACCUUAAACCCCCGAACCAAAAUUCACCCACGACCCGCCAAACAGCUCCAAACCCAUCCGAAACACACAACAUCUAACCGAAUGCCGAAUUAGCUUCGCAGUCACCUGUUCGCCGGAACUUCGAUUUUGUAGAUGACUUCCUCGUCCUCAUCAGUCUCCUUUAGAUUCCAGGUGCUUCUCCUUUAUGAUGAUCGCCUUCUCCGUCGUCUGGCCAGCACAAACAAAGAAGCCCAACCCCCUCAGCCUUUAAAAAAAGAAAAAGAAAAAAGAAACCAGGCAAAACCACGGUCUGAUUUGCUCGCGGUGGUUCGCCGGUCGGAAAGAGGGAGAGCAGAGAGAGAGGGAGGUCGCGGUCCUCUUGCCAGUCCCGUGCAGUGGUUCGUCAAUUGCUCGCGGUCCUCUCGCCGGUCUAGUGCGGUGGUUCGCCGGUCGGAAAUAAGGAGGGCACAAAGAGACUGGGAGGUCGCGUCCUAUUCGUCGGAGAGAGAGAGGGAGGGUAGAGUGAGAGAGGCGCGAAGAAAGAGAAGAAGUAAAAACCCUCGGUCGUCGGUCAGUCCGAAAUUUUUUCAAAGGGCGCCUGACACGAGGACACGUGUCGUCCUCCUACCGCCUUCUUGUUUGCCAUGUCCUUCUUCCUCUAUAUUUUUCUUUUUCUUUUUUUCUUUUGCCUGAUCAAUUUUCUAUGUGUCCCUGUUAGAAAUAUUCGGUUUAAAACAUUCACGCUUGUUCACCUUAAGUCUUUUAAAAUCACGAUUUGUGGAUUAAAUAGUUACAUUACUGUGGGAAUUAUAAGGUGGUUCAUAAAUGGGAUGAUGACCGUAAAUGUACUAAUGGAUGAAAUAAAGGGUGUUCGCAUUAUUUAAAAAGUGCUUAGAGGGAAGUGUUUGCCAAGACGAAAUUGAUUCAAUUACUUAAAAGGGUAAUGGUAUAUUCACAAUAAUAAUAAUUUUUUCCACAAUCUACAAACUAGAAAAUUUUCUUUCACAACAAUAAUAACUUCUUCGGUGGCCAUUUUAUGACUUAGUAUGCGACGUGCUUGUAUCACGGGCCAAUCGAUUGGGAUUGUGACUGCGCAGUGACUCAGGCUAUUUUGGAUCAUCUAAGCAAGCCUUGCUCGAUCAAUCGCACACUCGUCCGCACACUCGGAUCGUAGAGAGAGAAAGCUUGAGGAGCUAUGUAAAGAAAUAAACCCUUUAUAAACUGAAAUGGUUGGAUGAUUCAAAUGAGGGGAGGGCAUCACUUCUUAUACUUGAGGCCCUCUAAUUACAUCCGUUAAUCUAGAAUUUAUCCGGCGGUCGAGAUCGCACCGCCUCAACUACUGACACUAAUGACAACUACCAUCUACCGACAUAAAUAGCUAGAGACUUCUAGAAUUAAGCGUAAUGACGGUGUCGCCCGCUCUUGGAAAUUUCUGGAAAAAUACUUAGUUGGAAAUCCGAGCAAGCACAGGAGGUCUUCCACGGAUGAGUCACAGUCAUCCCUUUGGAACCUCUUGGAUCGGUCUUCUUUCGGGCUGUGACACUUGUAUAAUAGUUUUGGAAAAAGUUAUUAGGGGUGUGGAAACAUCAUUAGCCUUGUGUAAAGGGGAUUAAUUUAGCUAGUCACCUAUGUAGUGGAGGAGAGAGGAGGGUCUUUGAAGGAAGACAAACUCCUCGGAUAAUUAUUUGUGGAAGCACGAGAGAUGAUUGUUGGAGGAAAUGACGAGCUAUACUUUCGUUUGGCAUUAUACUGAAAACUUGUUCAAAUAGAUUAUUGAAAUCUUUAUUGAUGAAUUUUUGGUCAUAUGAAGUAGUCGAAAGCUCGAUGUGGUGAUAGCUCGGUAUAAUGUAGCGAAAUCGUGGUUAUGGUCUUGAUUUUGAUGCACUAAUAUCUGAUGGUUAUUAUAAUUAUUAAUUUGGUUAUUUGUCUUACACAAUAAUUUUCAUGUAAUUUGGGGAUCAAUGCAACUACAGUUGUUUUAUCAUGGUUUCAGCAAAUUAGCCAUUGUGCUUGAGGUCGGAGUUGGGGCUUAUUGCAUCAUAGAUCAAUUCCCUAAAUCACUGAAGUUCUGACUUUCUGUGCGUUGUUGAAAAAUCUGAGAAUAUCUUUCGUGUAUUAUCUUGUUCAUGUCGUUCGAAACUGAAGCACUAUGUAGUGCAAAGAAACUAUUCUUGCGCUUUCUAGUUCUGCUCUCGGAUAUCAUAUAUGCCUCAAUCGAUUUGUUCGUGGCCGUAUUUCAGGAUGCACAAGCUCCUCAGGGAUUGUUGCAGAGCGAGCUCGGCUUCGUUGAAUUGAAGUAAGCAAGUCAUUUCUCUUCUUGCACGUGCAACUCAUAUGUUGAUACUCAUGGAAAUCAUACUUGGUUUAGUCGGAACUCAAGGACCUAAAGAACCCAGGCUACAUGUGCUAAGAAAUUGUCUGAGGUUCUACAAAUAUACAACAGAAGGAAGAUGAUUAUGAAUACCGAAAGGAAGUCAUAAAGCUAAAAUCCAUUAACAAAAACUCAUUUCUUAUGUAUCAUACACACACGAACCAAUGUGUACAUCCAAAACUACCACUUCUUGAAAUGGUCUAGUUGGAGUGUCGCCGUUCGGAAUGAACAAACCGUUCUAAUUAUGGAGGAAAUGUCAAUGAAAGAAUAAAUUUCACAAGAGAAAUGAUACAGUGCGAAUUACCGACUUCUUCAUUAUCUUCAAGCUUUUCUUCAGCUUUGACAUGCAUAUUUAAAGCACAACAUAUUACCGAAUUGGCUUGUGCCCUCAAUGUUGCAUUGUCAAUGAACAUGACCGUUGACAUCUUCCUCGAUUUUUCUCAUGGUUUCAAGUUCCACUUCUGGAUCUUUGACCAUCAAGACAAUCUUCAUGAAUUUAGUUGCUUCAUCCAAAACAAUGACAAGUGAAGGAACACGAGUAUAUGGCCGCAGUCAGAAAAGUCAACGCGCAAGUAGGUAAUGACAGCCUCUUAACCAUUUAAUGGAAAAGUAUUUUGUUUCCACCGAUUUAAAGAGUAUAAUAUGUCAAAGUCUCCAGAUGGGGAUAUCACAACCAGAACGACCCAUAAUAGAUUAAGCAUCCAUGUAAAAGCUCAACAACACAGAAAAAAUAACAGAUUGGAGCACUCAUUUUCAAGGGCUAAACAUGUGUUGUAUUCAUUAAAUAGAUCCAUACUGCCUUUCAUCCUUUGAGUACAUUUGAUUAGUUCUGCAGACACUAUCAAAAUGACUAGUGGCAUAAGUUCAAACUACAGGGUGAAGUUCGGAGUUACCAGCUGGGGAAAGAAAUACCAGUAAUUUACUGCAUCGAAGUUGAAAUUCUGGAUGGCACAAAUCACAGCUCUUAUCUCAAAAUCCAAAAUGGUGAAGAGGCAGCAAACAUUUCUCUCUUGAUCGGAGAUGAUGAGUAGAUACAAGACUUGACAUUUUCUCCAAGAGCAAAGAACAUAUUUUUUUUGUUAAGAAUAGUCUUACCGCAAUCUCUUGAUUCAAUCUGGCUGUGAGAUCUUUAAUGUAUGUUUUUGCUGUAGAUAAACUUUGAUGCGCAGUUGUAAGAACUCUGUUCAACUUAUGCCGCUCUUCUGAUGGAAGAGGGAAAGCUAAGACCUUUGGAAAACUGCAACCUUGCGGUGGCAGGAUGUUGCACGUUAGGAAAUCAGGAUUGUACAUAGUGUUGUUUGCAAUGGGGGUCCUCUGCCACUCAUCAUGCUGAUUACAUACCUCUGAUGCAUACUUCAAGCCAGGAAAACCUUUCUAUGUCCAAAAUGAACUUUCUAUUCAAGAGUCUAUACUCCAAACUUGCUACCGGAUAGGUCAGCUCAUGUUCAGAUUUGUCAAUGCCAAGAUCAGCAGGAUCACUAUGCCCAAAUCUUGGUUAUCCAAGUUGCAGAUAUCUCAUAGGAUGAAUUAUUCCCCUGAUCUGACAAUGCAGAGACUUGAAGGAUUAUUGAAAGCAUGAGCUAUAGGUUGUGGUGUUAGCAGUUGAGCUGCACCAGUGGCAAUUGAACUUGAAUCUGAGUGCUGUAAAUGUACCUCAUCAAAGUCUGCAAAAUAUAGGAAAACAUAUAUCGGUACUGUACCCUUAUGUCCAUCAUGCAACAAUCUCGGUUCAAGUGAGGAGAAAUAAUGAACUGGUGAGGUUUUGUCAAAUGAGCACCUCCAUGACCUCACAGCAGCUUCAAGCUCAAGAAAGUUUGCUACCGUAGCGGAUCGUGUUUGACCAGAAUCAUGUAAGAGUUUUUCCAUCCAAUUCUCCAGACCUCUGCAGUGAACUAAAUGGUUGAACGUGUGGAAUUAUGAAUGCAGAGAUAGCAUACCGCUCCCAGAAGUAUCCUGCCUUCAAUCUCAGAAUUUUCUUAGGAGUUAAAGGCAACAUUUUCACGGGAAAUGGUCACAGAAUUUUCUUAGGAGUUGCCAUCCCUUCUGGCAAUUGUAUGCCAACUUGAACCCCGUAACACUGUUCUACAACAAUGUCAAAACAGAAUCUGAUUUGUGGUACCAAUAAGUCAAGGCGGCAAAUUACUGUAACAAGAUAUCGGUCUGAGAAUAUUCAGCUUCCAGAGAACACAUACACCUACACAACUAGUUAACCAGACACAAAUUCUGUCACUAUGUACGGCAGACAAAACCGAAAGAAAAGGAAAAUGACAGACCACCAGCAUGAAAUACGAGGCAACAGAGUGAGAUCACUAAACGUAAUGCAGGAACUACUCUAUCAAGAUCGACAACACGCAGUAAAGAAAAUAUUGACUAUGGUCAAACUAAAAUUGGCAAUGGUUUAUAACAUGUGGAAAUUACAGAAUUUCCCGAUUAUACUGGCAAUCUGAAAAGACUCGCAAUGAAUCUGAAUGAGAGUCAGUUGAGACAACUGCCAGACUCGAUUGGAGGACUGGAAUCCCUACUUGAGUUGGAUUUAUAUGAAGCAAAUAUUUCGGGAUUACCGGAUUCAAUUAGAAAUCUGGAACUGUUGUAGUAUAUGAAGAUUGAGAGUAAUAUAAGAGAGCUAACAAACAUUUUGAACCCUCGAAGUAGGCAAUCCAAAACUGAAAAAUUUGGAAAAUGGAGUUGUGAGCGGGGGCAUUAACUUAAGACUGCUCGUAUGGCUCACUUCUGCAUUGGAUUUUGAUGCUGUUAUCACAGUUGUAUUGGGCACAACACAUACAACGUUAUGUGAAUUUUCGAGAAUUUUUGUAAUUAUUGCAAUUUUCAGUAAUUUCUGGAAGAAUAUAGCAUACUCCGAAUCUUGUUCCUCUCAAUAGAUGGAAAAUUAAUCCCAUCUACAUGUUUAUGUUAUUUUUUGUAGAAAAAUAUUAGGUUUUAAAUUUCGUAUAUGAAGUAUUUUAAAUGAAAGUACAUGUGUACAGAGAAAUUUCUAAUAUCAAAUUAAAUUCUCAAAAAUUAUGUUCUACACGUGUCAAAUUGCCUCCACUGCUCUGAAUAUUUAUUAUUCCAUUACUAAUAAAAAAAAUUACUGAAAGUGAGCCUUGGAGAUUUCGGCGCUGAAAAUUCAAUUUUAGGACUAUUUCACAAAGUUAUUUUCUGAUAUACUGGGAAAUUAUAUGGCAAUAUACUAACAUGUAAAUAUUUUUGAGCUAUUUUAUAUGCUUCGGGCCACGAUCCUAAGACCGAACCUCGGAGGUUUUUUUUAUCGUAUUUUUGCUAAAACGGGCCUUUUCGCCCAAGACAGUCUAGUUGUUGUAUUAAAUUAGUAUAUUCUAAUAUUGGGCCUUAAAUUAUGUUUAGGUACAAUUUGAAUUUGGGAGUUAGCGAGGAAAGUGGCAUUCAUGACUACUGUGUUCUGUAAAAACUGAUUAACAUGUUUUCAUUGUCACCCAAACUUAUAUGUGUUCAUUCAUAGGUUGGUUCUAUUUUGGAAUUUAAUCAAGGCAGACGUGAUUUUCGGGACUUACUCAUAGUCGGUGAUUUUUUUGGGAUUUAACCAUGCCCAAUACGGUUUACAAGCCAUUCAUCCACCAAAACGUGAUUGUAGGAUUUCUGAUAUGAUCGACUGAGAAUGAUUUUUGCUUGUGAUAUUAUAUGUCGUGCUAUGAAUCAUGCAACCAUGGCAAAAGAAUGUGUGGAAUGUUCACAUUAUUUGAGAAUGCAUGUUGUAGUUACGGCCAGGAUGCACAUAGAAGUACAAAGUUAUGAUAUUGCAUGUCCAUGGCUUGAUCCUAUGAAAUGUGGUGACCGUCACUUAUUGAGCUAUCGUUUUGUUCAACCCUCUUUGUUCACCAUUUCAAGUUUUGAGAACGGAAGACAGUGACGAGUUUACAAAGAUGGCGAGGGGUGGCUUAGAAUUUAUUUUGCGAUUCGAAGAGAAGUUUAUUAUAUUAGCGGCGACGGAGGCGGUGGGCCACGUUUGCGGAAAUACUUCAAUGAGUUUCUCCUCUUUGGCUCUUGGAACGAGCGCGCGAAGUGAAUUAUAUGCUCAAACUCAACUAGAACUUGGCCUCAAUAGAACUUUCGUUGUGUUUUGGUUUGGCUUUUCCAAAUAGUUUUAGGGAAAUUCAAAGUAGUUUAUCCUAAGGAGCUUCGGAAAAAUCCAAAGGCUGUUUAGUAAAUUCUGCUUUGAGAAAUAACUUUAAGACAAAUGCCGUUUGGUAAAAAAACAUAUUUGAAAAGCUCAUUCGGAUGAUUAAUUUAAUUUUUUUUAAUUUUUAUUUGUUUAAAAGAAAAAAAAUAAUGUCUACAACUUCUUUAAUUUAAAUUUUAACAACAAUGUUAAAGAUAAUGUGUAAACAAUUUUAUUAAAAAAUAAAAUUUCUUUUUUUGACAAACAAAGUUUCAAAUGGAAAAAAUUCACAUCAAAGUGGCCUAUCUCUGAAAUAAAAAAAGAAUACUUACAUUACAAUAAUCAUAAUAACAUAUGCCCUGAGAAAAGAAAUUCAUUAUCCUUUAAGAUUACAAAUAUCAUUAAAUAUUUCCUAAGCUCAUAGCUAUUUGAUAAGAUAAACGUGCCAUAUCAGAAGCUGUAGCAUUAUUUGAAGCACCAUCCUCCUCAUUUACAUCAUCAACAAUUGUGUACCUUUGUAUGAAGUUUUGAGGAAAUAAAAGAAAUUAUAGGGGUUUGUGAUAGAUUUGCCAAUUUUUCAUUGAGUAGGCACAGAACCAAACUUCCCUAGUUUUCUGUUUGUAUCCAAGUUCAUGGAACUACUUUGCCACAAGAAACGAUCUCUGUAGCUAAACCAAAAUUAAAAUGAAUUUGUAGAUGUCUCUCAAGUUAUCAUCUCAAACGAUAACCCAACCGAAAUAAUAUACAUGAACCAAAAUAAGCUUUCAAUCCGUGUCAUCAUGAGAAGAGCAAAAAGUACACUCGUUUUCAGUGACUUCUCAACAUAUUACAAUCGUUAAAUAUGGACAAGAAAAAAUGGUAAAUUUAUGUUUGUAGCUGCCCUAAAAGAAAGGCAAGAAUUCUUUGCUUGCUGCCUCUUAUUAGCCUCUUAUCAUGGACAAACAAAAAGCCACUCAUGAUGAUGGAAGCGGAGUAGCUUGGGCACCAAAUCCAAGAGCGCCUUUGUAUCUCCUUGUUAGGAAAAAUACAGCAGUUGCACCAUGCGCUGCAACUUUUGAAGAGAUCAACUUGAAUCUCAAGUCCAUGAACACAUUGUGCGGAACACGUUCAGAUGAUGAUAGUUUAUCAUUGUCGGCAAUCAACUAGACACUCCAUCGGAGUUCCUCUUGCUCGGGCCUUCUAAAUCAUCACAAUUAGGCUGCUCACAAAGGCACACCAGAGGAUUUGCACGAAAGUAAUCCUCCUCUUUGGGCUUAUGACAAUAACUCUACGAUGACUUGGUUUUGCCAUGUUCUUCUCAUGUGCCAAAUGUACAGCAACUUCAAAAUUAUUAUGUGAAAGUGUCCCAUUCUGAUGCAAAUCCAGUAAAACCACAAGCCUUUUACAAUCUAAGAGAACGAUUCUCUUAAAUCCAAGAUACCUGCAGAAAAAUGUCACAGUUUGCACACAACUUUUUGGAGGAAAAUGGGAUAGGCCUAAUUAAAUCGACUUGUUCUUCCAAGGGAAAUAAUGGAAGAACGUCAAUCAAGUUAACACACAAACAAGCAAUCUCGAAGGUUCUAAGGCAAUCAACAAUAACCUAUCAGUUAACUCCCCCUUCUCACAUUCAAUUGGGACAGAUCCGCCGCAAUUGACAAUGACCACUUGUGAUAUCUCAUAGUGUCUACUCAAAACAGGACAAACAAAAAUCAAUUCUUUGUCGCAACCCGCAAAAAGAUAUACAUGAAUCGUGUUGGUGACACGGAACUAAAAUCAUCAUAAGCAGCGUGUACUACUGAACUCGUAGGCUGUUAACACGAAGCCAUAAUUGAAAUUCACCCACAAUUUCAAAUUCGAUCACCACACCAGCAUAACAAUCAAACAUGUAGACAACACAAGCCGCAGACUGCGCAAACGGCCAAGCAUCUGGAAUUAACAAAACAAAUGACAACUGUGAAUUACCUGCGGCAGCAAUAGGUGUUGGGAGGAGUAGUAGUGGCAAGUCCGCUGGCAAAAAGUGCUUGUCUAGUGCACCGUCAACUUGAAGUAAUCGAAUUCUCUCUAGCGGCUUCCGUCAUCAACCUCUCCGGUAAUAAUCACCGCUGCGAUCCCCGAGACGAGAACCGCCAGGCGAAGGAGAGACGAAGAAGAAGCCAUCGAUGGAGAGAGAGACUGAGACAGAGAAUCGAGCGGAGGUAGAUCUUAGGGCAAAGGAAGUGUAGAGUCGAGCGGAGAGCAAGCUGAGCGAAGAAGCGGUGUAGUUCUAGGAUUUUAAUUUUCAAAAGGGGCAAAAUGGGCAACUGAUUAAUUUUCAUUAAUUCGGUCUUUAAAUCAAAAUAAGUCCUUACUUGCCUUGAGUAAAGCUUUCUUAAUACUAAUUUUCACUUGAAAACUACUUGAGUUCAUCUAGAACUAGCCUUCAUCUCAAUUGUUGAUGAAGAUAGGGUUGUUAUAACAUUCAAAAAAAUUAUGCAUGUAAGAUGGAUCAAUUCGUAUUAUUUAAAUAUGAGGAAAAAUAAAUUCAAUUGCUCAACAACAUUUUGUACUUGCUCCCACAAAAAAAUAUAGCGAGAUUGAUCUCGACUCAUGCCAAAACUUGACUGAACUCCAUGACGACCAUAAGAAAAAUGGUAUCCAUCUCCUUUUUUCUUUUUAAUAGUUAUUUAAGUCAGCAAUUAUAAAUUUCUAGCAUUGGCAAGAUUCUAGUAUUAUGUGCUAAAAAAUACGGAUUUCUUUCAUGAGCCAGCAAAUUUGUGGUAACGUUUGGAGGUGUUGUUAGUGUUGAUCAAUCAUUCCUAUCAAUUUAAUUAUCAAAAAAAGAAAAAGAAAAAAGAAUGCAUUAUGAUUGCUUGAGCUUUACUAGCAAAAGUGACUAUAUGCUCGCGAUAGAUUGAAGUGAUAAGACCUCUGUUUAGAUUUUAGGUUCCGUACAAUCGCCUUCCAUGCCUUUUUAACUUUUCUACAUUUCUAGAUCGAUCCUUAGCCUCCAGUCAACGCACAAAAAUAUACAAAGCAACUCGCUUCAAGUUGCAUAAAAAAUAAAAUUUAGAAGUCUCUAAACAUAUUAGAUACACAAGAAAAUCCCAUAAGCCUCUUGACAAAAAGAAACACAAAUUUACCCUUAGGAGAUUGUAAUCAACUAGGAUAUCAAUUACAUUGAUUGGCCAUGAUAUCAAUGGGCCGAAAUAGUGAACGGAAGCCUGUCACUACUAUUGGACUAUCAGUGCACAUCAAAGUACAUAAAAUUCUAUUUUUCCAAGUUUCCUUGUAGCAACCGGAUGUAUAAAUGUGCCGAUGAGUAUGCUUCUGAAACCAUAUGGCCAUUGGGCAUCGACGGCACAUGGGGCAAUUCGAGAUUGAAACCGAAUUGGAGCUGCCGUGAGGGCAUGGCAUGAGGAAUUUGAUGCGGAUGGAUUGAUUCCAAUUUUUGAAUUUGUGCACGAGCCCGAUGUGGAGUUCCAGCAGCUCGUGCUUGCCUAAACUAAAACUGGACUUCCAAUUGGCAACGGAACAAACAAAAGUUAUAGCUUGAUCCUGGACGGCUUACUUCCUAUGUUAAAUCACGCGAGUUCUAUCUGGGAUUUGUGGGACACAACUCAUUCAAAUGGUAUAUGUGAGUCUAAGUGCAGCCAAGAGUUUUUCUUAAAAUAGUAAAAAAAAAAAAAAAAAAAAACCUCAUAUGGAGUCGAGUUUGAUGAACUAGAUUUAUCUUGAUCGUUGAUCAUUUGUGCUGCAAAUAACGGUUUAGAUGAACCCAUUCGGACUUGGGUAGACAAGUUCUUCCUCUUGAGUAAUAAUUUUACAUGUGUGAAUGUCAAUUCAAAAUUUAUUGUGAUAAGCAUCUAAUAUUCCAACGGUAGAUGACUUAAUUAUAAGAAACUCGCUGGGUCUAAAUUAAGGUGGAAUCUGGAUGAGAAGAGCUCCAGGCAUUCUUCCAGCGUUAUUGCUUGAGGCUUCCUGCACCAUUGAUGAUCUAAACGUUUGAGUAAUACAACCAUCAUCCUUAUUUAGAGAAUAAUGUGGUGAAUGCAUUGAUUUUCGAGAUGUGGAUAUCUUAAUUUAGUAGAAUAAGAAUUUAUGUAGAAUGUCUGAAAUCAUACGGUAAUGAUGCCAUGUAUUACUUCUGUUAAAACGUGCCCCAACAUGUGUAUUUGCCAACACCAUAUAAAGUUCUAACGUCAUGAAAUCUCAAAACUUCCAUAACUCUGAAAAUGAUACAUAGUUGUACAAUAUUAAUCAAGUAUGUUGAGAUCCCUGAUUUGAUAUUUAUAAGUGAGACUUGUUCAAAAUAGUGAAUGUGGGUAUAAGGAACAAUCAAUGCAUGGUGGACUAUUCUUCUUUUCUUACUUGGUUGCUUAACAAGUGUCUAAAAAGUAUUUUUUUUUUAAAUAAAAUCAAUCUUGGAAACGCUAUUCAUUCUUUUGUAUCAAAGCAAAAGGGAAAGAAGCAAAAGACCAAGUAUGAUGUCUCCCACUUCGGAAAGAGCUCCAGCCACUUCGCGCAGCACACCAAACUAGGUCGUACCACCCACAAGAAAGGCCUCUCUCUCAUGGCCGAUCCGGCAGUUUCGAGCAGUCGUUCCUCGUUCAUGCUAGCCACGUUGCCGAAGCUCACGUACAAAACAUGAUCUGCUAGCUUGUUCGUUGAGCCAUGAAAUGCACCCGGUAUCUUCCUUCUGUAAUGAGCUGGAGGAAAAAGGGGCUAACUUGUGAAAAGGGCCAAUGGCAAAUAUCGGUCCAACGGAUACAUUCUCGAAUAUUGUUGAUACUUAAAUUUUGCUGACCCGUUUAAUUAUUCAUUAAUUACAUAUGCAUUAAUUUUUAUUCCAUAAAAAAAUUAAUUUUCAUUAAAUUGCAUCAUGUAUGAGCAUUAGGAACAUUUGCAUUACUGGUAUUAAUUAUUAAAAAAUUCAAAAAAAAAAAAAAAAUGGAAGAGGGCCUAUCCUGCCGGCUGGUCUUCCAUUUUCCUUUGCCCUAUCAUUUCUUUCCCCGCGCGGCCCGUCCCUUCUCUUCCUUCAUCAGCCCGGCCCACUCUCCCUUUUUCUUCCUUCUCUUCUCGCCUGUUUUGGGUGCUGGCAUUACGACAAACAGAUGGCAGACGAAGGAUGGUACGAAGGAAGGAGGACGAGGAAUGUCGUGCGACGCGACCGGUACGCCUUAGCCUGCAACAGCUGGCGUCGUCCUGGAGGAGAGAGUAAGGACGAAGAGAGGGAUAAAGGAGAGAAAGAGGGAGAGCUCGGAGGGUUCUUCGGGACGAGAGGGGGAAAGAGACGGCGAACGGAGAGUGAGAGGUCCAAGCAACUGAGAGAGCAAGAGACGGCCGAACAGGUACGCUCGGCUCUGCUUGCGUUCUGUUUUGAGCAUGCUAGGCCGGAGAUCGCAGCCGUUCGGCUUGUGCGAGCUCCGGCCUUUGUCGUCCUUAUAUUUUGUUUCCACAGUCCCGGUACGUCGUGCGUGGAUAUCGCCGGCGUAGGUUCAAGUCCCGGUGGAGCCGGAAACCUUAGGAUUUGAUAGCGCACGUCAACUGCUUGUGAAAAGUCUCAGUUAGAUCUGUGAACACUUACACCGAUUUUUGCUUUGCUUUCGGAAUGCUAGUUGUGAUUCCAUGUUUCCUUCGUCCGUGCCUGCUUAGUCAGCAUUUCCUUGUCGCCUGUUUCGACCGAUGGUGGGGUCGGGUUUGUCAAGUCUCCGAAUCUGGAUUGGGUCAAGGGGGUCACCGGAGUUUGGGACCGCUGGAGGCGACUGCACCGUUCGUUCGGAGCCACGUAGGUCGGCCUUGGCGGUUGGUGUUGAGGCGAAAGAACUUUCCGGUGAGAGUUCGUCUGGUGGAUGGCUGCUUCGGGGAAGGUGGGGGAACGAACCUGUAAAUAAAGAAUAAAAAGAAAAAGAAAAAGAGAAAAAACAAACUGGAGAAGGAGAAGACAAUUGGGGGCUUAAGUUGCGUUUUGUUGAAUCUGGGCUUAUUUAAUGAUUGAGUAAUUUUGGGCUUGAGUGGUUUUAAUAGAUUUGGGCUGGCUUCAUUUUUAGAAGUACUUGGGCUGAGUCCUUUUUAGUAAGAUGGGCUUUGGUGCAUUCAGUUGCAAAGACAUGGGCUUGGUGUAGCUUUAGUGGAAGAGUGGGCUUAUUUGGGAGUUUUUUAGAAAGGGAAGAAAUGGAGUGGGCUUGAGGAUAAGAUGAAUUGCGCCCUCUAGUCUAAAUCUUGAGUCCAAGUAAGUUCACCCAUGUUCCGGCCAGGUCCUUAUUUUCGGACUACCAAUUAAUUGAAUAAAAAAUAUAUAUUUUUAAAAAUAAUAUUUAAAAAUUAAUUAUAAAUUCAGAAAUUUUUAUUUUUAUUUUUCCUAAAGUCAGAAAAAGCUUAAAAAUAGUUUUUUGGAUAGCUUUCUCUAAAAUUAUGGGGAAUUCAUUGAGAAAAAAUUGUGUUAAAAAAUUGAACAAGCCCGUACGGCUUUACCAAAGAGUUUCAAUUGUCCUUAAAAAUGAAUGCCCUUGAUUGUGUGCUUCCAUGAUGAUGAUUGCUGUUCACCUUUAGCUUGGUUAAAAUUGACGUUUAUUUCACGUUAGAUCCUUGCUCUCCCUUGAAAUUUAUUUAACGCUUUUUUUAAUUGUUGAUUGUUAUUUUGAUGAUUGCUUACUUACAUGAUCACCUUGUAUGUUAGUAAAUAGGUUUAAAAUCAAUCUAGACUAAAUGAGACAAAUCUUUUUGACAUGAACGGGAUUAGUUACUGAAAGUGUAACCAAGUUCCCGAUCCUAAAUUCUCUAAUUGCAUAGGAAGUGAAGUACUCUCUCAUAUUUCAUUUGAAUAAUUAGUGGUGACUCCUUAUUAGAAAAUUCUUAGAGCCUUAAAUUAAGUUAACGUUGAACAUCCCAACGUCGAUGAGAUAUGGGUUUGGGAGAGCCAAUGUCUAAAACUAGGGCCAUAGGCUCAUUUUUUAGGCAACAUCCCCAAAUCAAUUUCCUCCUUACUGAGGGAUAGGUCGUGACAAAUCUUCAGUAGCAUUUCUUCUUUGAGGAAAUGCAUUGUGUUCGGGAUGAUUGGGCAAAAAUUUGUCAUCGUGCUUGUCGUGGCAGCCCAAAGCUCUAGGGUGGUGUUUGAGGGAUUCUCUCCCAUGGUAAUGAGAAGGUGAUAUUAAAAACGUCUUCCUAGUUGCCUUGCGAAUCAUUUAGAUGAACUUCUCAAUUCAAGGACUGUGAGGGCUCUUUACUGCUGCCACCCACGGAGCAAACCCCACCAUGAAGAAGUGAAGAGGAAAGCACAUGAGGUUCGCGGCAUGUUUCGUUAGGUCAGAGGUUAGUUGCCCCCGAAACCUCCAGCAUAAUGUAACUCCAGAUAUUGUAGCUGAUAACAAGGGUUUCAAAUCUCCAACAACAACAACCAAACAUACAUAAUGUUUGCUCAGUUCACAAAUAAGCCUAAAUGCAGGACAAAAAUACACCUGCCCCAAGUAUUUCUUUACCAAAUACUGCCAGUAUAUCUGCCCCAAUGACUGCACAUGAGGAUUGGAACUACAACCGCAACUUAUGAUGGAUCGAGUAGAGGGGAGUUUGGUAUAGUCAGGAAGGUUAGGAGAUCAGCACAGUCAGCCUUGGCGAGGGUGAGCCUCGCCCACCCCUAGCAAGGUUCGACCCUUUUUCUCGACCAAAGAAGCUUAAGAAUCAGUUGCUUUGGUGAUAAUUUGCCCUUGAUCAAAGGAAGAUUACUUAACAAGGAAGUCCUCAUCAUUUUUUAUGAGCUGGAUAAGAGGGACCAGCUUGCGAAGCUAGCAGGCGAAUCCAAUUAAUUUAGUCCGGAAAGUAUAACUAUAAUUACGACCAGGAAUAUUGAUUGCUUAGCAAUCGAUGGUAUCCUAAAGAUUACUAUUUCUAUGAAAUCAACGCAUUGAGUCCUACCCCUGCUCUUCAACUUUCAGCAAGCGUGCCUUUGAAAGUGAAUCGCCUCCACAUCAUUACCAUUAGAGUGGUCACUCCUCUCAAACUUGUUGGAUCAUGUAGUGCUCAUGGUCGACUAAUGUAUUAAGAUAUACGUUCACAGAUUGGUUUUGUGCUGGUGCUUUAUCACAGGCGAUGUGCUUUUUGGGUCUUAAUUACAGGCAAUGUGAUUUCUGGGUCUUAACUAUAGGUGAUUAAGUUUCUGGGUCUUAACUACAGGUGAUUAAGUUUCUGGGCCUUGUCACCUAGUGAAGCGUGACCAUAGUAUUUUGAUAGGAGCAAUGAGUUUGAUAUCUAUAUCCAUUUAUGAUAUUGAAAUGGCUUGUGAGAAGCCGUAUUGCAUGCAAGCUUAAGUGUGAUUUUCAUGUACGGCAUAAUUAUUGUAAGUUGCAUAAUUCAUUACUCGAUCCCAUAGAAGUGGUGAUUGUCACUUACUGAGCCAGGAUUUUACUCAUCCCCUUAUAUUUCCAUUUAGGUUUCGAGAAUGGAGGAGGGUGACGAAUUUAUGAAGAACGCAUGAUGGGGCUGGUUUCUUCAUUUUGCUAUUUGAAUCAAUCUUAUUAGACUGAAUUUACAAAAUUCAUAAUAUGGUAAAUUCAUGGUAUUUUGGACCUUAUGGUUUUCCAUCUAAUGCAAGGUUUUGUCCGGUUAGGACCUUUCUUGUGAAAUGAUUCAUUUUGAUUAAGCCCUUCGUGCUUUUAUUCAUGAAAAAUGGCCGGUCAUUCCUUAAAUUUUAAAUACAGAUUUGGCGUGUGACACAGAAGCUUCCAUCUUAUGUUGUGAAUUGCUGCAAAAUUGAUCUAUUCUAUCACAUGCAACUUCUAAGGUCUAUAUGUACUCAAGCCGUUGUAAGCUUCACAAAGAAGAGAGAAGAAUUAUUUUACUCGCUGUCCAGAAUUUAAUAACAACAGCUAACUCUAGAGAGAAUUAGUCCCUCUACUGAAAUCCUAGUUGUUUGUUUCUCGAAUCUUGUUGAUCCUUCUAAAUGUCCAAACUUCCGUCCGAAAUCAUCGUCAAUAAUACCCUCCGAUUAAUCAAACUAAUGCCCAAAAGUUGAUCUUUAUAUUUAGUGAACAAAUGAAUAAAAAUAUUAAUGUGCAUGCUACAUAUGUCGCUUCCUUGUCACAAAAUCUGGGAGGAAAUGAACUAAAAGAAUAACUUAACAAGAAAAGGAUCACAAUAAGUGAUCAUUUGCUUAAACAUUCUCCUUAAAAGUUGAUCUCUAUCGUUGAUUGUCAACCAUCUGAUUGGGCCUAUAACUUUGCCACGGUUUAAGUCACGGCAAGGUAGGAAUGCCUAGUUAUGUUAGACGUGUUUUAAUUUAUGAUAGGGUGGUGGGUGGACCCUAAAGACAUAUAUGACAGGGAAUUCCCGGAAAAUGAAUAGAACUUGUGUGGAAGUGCCCUUCCUCUUUCCAUAAAGCUGGAGACUUUACUCCUCCACUUUGGAAGACUUGGUUGGCUUUACUUGAAGUCGUUGCUCUUAUUUUUCUUUCGAUGCUAAGGGGGAAAAAGCAAGCAAAUGUCAUGUCUUGAGCUUUAGAGGGUUAGCCACUCGCGUCAAUAUGAAGCGACUUUAUUGGACGAUUGAAGUCACUAGUUAAUUCAUUCUUGUCCAACACAAGAACUACAGGAUUACCAUGUUCCAUUCAAAAUCUUAAAAUGUUGCAGGUGAUAACAUUUGUACUUGACUAAGUAAGAGAGCCACCAAAACUCAGUGGAGAAUCUUGGAGAAUUGCCCAAUGUAUUAACAUGAAAACUUCAUCGUCUUGUCACCUUAAGUUUUAGAGUGUCCUAUGUUACAAGACUUCGAUGGCCCUUUCUAGCUUUACACUAAGCGAGAAAGUCAUGGUAGAAUCUUAUUGUCAUUUGCUUGUGACACUUUCCAAUCAAUCAUUUCAUGUUUAAAACAUAUCCAAUGGGUGUUAUUGACCGAAUGCCCUAAGCUAAUUCAGAUUCUAGGCUUGUUGAGAUCGUUGAAUAUAUACUGCCACCUGAAUUCAACAACUCCAUAUAAACUUUGAAUUGGCAAUAUAUUCAAUGGAUGUUAUCGACUGAUUGGAUAAUUUUUUCAUUGUCUAGAAGUUACCAACGGGCAACUCUAAGGAGAAUAGUCCCUCUAUUGAAUCCUAGCUCUUUGUUUCUCAAAUCUUGCCGAUGCUUCUAAAUUGUCCAAAAUUAUAUCCGAAAUCAUAGUCUAUAACACCCUCUGAUUAGGCAUCUCUCUCUCUACACUUUGAAUUUAUUAAACUAAUCCCUAAAUGUUGAUAUGCAUAUUUAGUGAACUGAUGAAUGAAACAUUCAUGUUCAGGAUAUAUUUGUCGUCUCAUUGUUGUAAAAUCCAGGUGAAAAUGACAUAAAAAAAGAAAAAAAGAAAAACGUAAUAAGAAAAGGAUCGCGAAAAAUAAUCAUUUGCUUAAACAUUCCCCCUAAAACUCGAUCGCUAUGGUUAAAGUCACGGUAGGAUAGGAAUGCCCAAUAAUAUUAGACGUGUUUCCAAUUAUGAUAGGGUGGUGGGUGGACCCUGAAGACAUAUAUAACCGGAAAUUCCAAGAAAAUGAAAAGAAUCUUAUGUGAAAGUGUCGUCCCUCUUUCCAUAAAGCUGGUGGAAGACUUGGUUGGCUUUAGUUAAAGUCGUUGCUAUUCUUUUUCUUUCGGUGUGAAGGGGGAAAAGCAAGCAAAUGCCGUGUCUAGCUUUCGGACGGUCAGGCACUCGCGUCAAUGUAAAGCAACUUGAUUACCACCAAAUUUCCUUGGCAGUCUAAAGUCUUCGUCAACUCAGGGAUAAAUUUUACAGAACUAGCGUGCCUGAAGCAUUUGCCAGCAACACUAACACCGAGGUAUAAAAUACACUACGCUUUAGUGGAUGUGAAUUUUAAACCAAUACUUCUAGAUAUGAGGUACUAUCGCCCAAGAAGAAACAGUGUAAAGCAACCUCAUUUAUUGCCAGCGUAACGUAAUGAAGUUGGACCCCGCCACCUUGGAAGACUUCCAUUGGCUAGACUUACCAAAGUCAUCGCCAUUCUAUUUCCUUUCGGUGCCGAGGAAAACGCAAACAAAUCCGAUAAAGACAGCGAAAGAGCAUCGCAAUUCUCCAGCCUCUGCCGCUUUUCUGAAUCCCACAUUAGAUUCAGAAAGGAUCCACAUCUCGCUGCAAUUAAACCCGGUGGAGAUUUGAGCACCUGAAGGAGAAUGAAGAGAAAGAGGGAUUCCCCAGAUGCAGUGACCAUGUCUGCCUGUGUCGAUGAUGGCAAUUCGUCUUCAGGGACUGAAUUUGAGGUGUUUUUGAGUUUCAGAGGCCCGGAUACUCGCCUCAAUUUCACCGAUUGUCUCUAUCACUCCUUAGUCAAAGCUGGGGUUCGUGUUUUUAGAGACGAUGAAGAGAUCCGAAAGGGAAAAAAGAUUGAAGGUGAACUUUUGCAUGCCAUUGAAUCCUCCAAAAUAUACUUGCCCAUCUUCUCUAGGAACUAUGCAUCCAGUAAGUGGUGUCUUCGCGAGCUCACACACAUGCUAGAGUCCUCGAGCAAAGCGAAUGACAAAGUGAUCCUACCCAUUUUUUAUGACGUAAACCCUGAUGAUGUAAAGCUUAAAACUCAAUUGUACCUCAAUGCUCUAAAGAAACACCAGAAGAAGUUAAGCCACGAUGAGGUUUGGCAAUGGAGGGAAGCUUUGACCAAGGUCGCAAGAAUCAAGGGAUGGGACAUGAAAGACAAAAGGUAAGAGUAUGACUUUGGAAUCUGCUUUUGUUCUCUCUCUUUUUUUCCCGAGCAAUAACAAGUGAGAUUAUAAUAAGGAAUGGAAUUUUCUCCCGUUUUUUGUUUUUUGUUUUUUUUUUUGUUUUAAUUACUCCCACCAUAUCUUCUAUUCCCGAGUCACUCAUCCAAAUAGAGUAUAGAUCUAAUUUUUCAUUAGUCGAGAUUUCCCUUUACUAAAGAAAGCCAGCUUCCCUUUGGUAAAACCUCGCCCAUUUAAAAAUCCAUUAGUUUCGUGUCUACAAUAUUUCUCAACUUGAAAGUUCAUUUGCCAUAUGUUUCAUGCUAAGACUCUUAUGUCAAUAUGGCAGCCACGGUGAAAUCAUCAACACUAUUGUUGAUGAGGUUUUGACCAAGCUAAUGAAAAGAAUGCGAAAUCUGCCUGAUCAUUUAGUUGGGAUUCAUGAUCAUGUUGAAGCUAUCAUGGACAUGUUAAACGAAGGUUCUUGUGAUGUUCGUUACCUGGUCAUCCAUGGAAUGGGCGGUAUCGGUAAGACAACUCUCGCAAGUGUUGUCUUUAAUAAAAUCUCCAAUCAAUUUCAAGGUUGUAGCUUCCUUUUGGACAUUCGCGAAUCUACGCAACAGGGUAGAAUUGUUGACUUACAAAAACAGUUGUUAUUAGAGAUUCUCCAAGGUGGAUCUCUAGGGAUCCAAAAUUCUGUUGAUGUAGGGAUUAACACAAUUAGAGAAAGAUUUCGUGGUAAGAAAGUUCUCAUUGUUCUCGAUGACGUGGGUAAUAGGGAUCAACUCUCUAAGCUAGCCGGAAAGAGUGAUUGGUUUGGUCCAGGAAGUAGAAUCAUCAUUACAACGAGGGACAUCAACUUUUUGCCAAUCAAAGGGAAGGACAAAGAGAGUAGUUUCCAAGCACAUUCUCAAGAGUUUCAAAUCUAUAAAAUGACAGAAAUGGAUUCUUUCCAUGCUCAUCAGCUUUUUAUUAAACAUGCCUUCAGAAUGGAUUUACCACCACAUGACUUUGUUGAUAUCUCAAGGCAAAUUACGACCAAAACAGGUAGACUUCCUUUAGCUCUUGAGGUUAUCGGUGCGUCACUUUAUGGCGAGAGCAAAAAGUUUUGGAAAGGCACUUUGCAGAAGUUAGAGUUGGUGCCCAACCAGGAAGUCUUCAACAAAUUAAAGAUCAGUUAUGACAUGUUGGAGCCUCACCAGAGAGAGAUCUUUCUUGAUAUUGCGUGUUUCUUCAUUGGAGAAGAUAGACUCCACCCGUACUAUAUGUGGAAAGCUUCCAACUAUUUUCCAACAAGGGAACUACCUGUCCUAACUCGUAUGUCUUUGAUAAAAAAUUAUGAUAGAUUGUGGAUGCAUGAUCAACUUAGAGAUCUUGGAAGAGAAAUUGUUCAGCGUGAGGACAUCAAUUUUCCAGGGAAGCGUAGUAGGUUGUGGGAGCCCAAGAUUGCCAUUGAUGUGGUUCAGAUGAAAAAGGUAAGCUAUCGUCACCGUACUAUUUUCUUUUGGAAAAAAUCAACCAUGCAUUUUUCAAAGGUUGUGGAGUUAGUUUCUUGCCGGUAUAUAUUUUUGUUGAACUUUUAAUUUGGCAAAGAAAAAAGGCAAAAGGUUUGUAUAAGAAUUCAUGAUGGUAAUUCCACUACAUAUUGCAUCUAAAAGGUUGCAAUGAAAGUUAUUGGAAGCAAAAAUCUUAGGAAUAUAGUUAAAUACAAGGUUGUUCAACAAAAUAUAUGGAAAUAGAUUGCGACCUCCUAAGCUAUCAAAGCUAUUUAAGGCUGAUUUUAUUCCCUUUUGUUAAGUUGGAAAUCAUUAGCAAUAUUACUUUGCGAUGAGAUCCCUUACCUGAAAUUUGGUAAUAGAUUUAGAUUUUGUAAUUGAAUGUAACAUGCAAUCUUUUGUGUAUAGUCCGGUAGAGCUUUCAAACAAUAUAUGAGAGACUUUUAUGAGGUUAGUUGAAUAACUUUAUUAUUAUGAAAGCAAAUCCUAUUUUUAUUGUAAUCUUUUAUGUAGAAUCUGCAACGAGUUCUACAACAAUUAAGACUUUCUAGCUCCUGUCUUCAUCUUGUAAUCAAACUCAUAUGAAACCUAAUAAAGAGACACUUUGGAGUUAACCGAUCUUCCACACACUCUAGACCAAGCAGAUUUCGACGCGUAGAGUUGCAAUGGGGUUAUAAACUCAAGAGACUUUUUUUGUAUUUGGUCUGGCCACUUUUUCUAAAUUUUGCAAAACCAUGGCAGGUUUUUUGUGUUGCAAAAUAAAUAAAUAUGUGAGCAAUAUUUUCUAUCAGGUGGUUUCGCUCAAAGAUAAUAAAGUUUUUGUUAUCAUUACACGAUAGGAAUUCGCUUAAAUUGAUGGAAUAGAAAUAUUACUAUGCUUUACACAUUGUAGAGAACUCUUUCCAAUUGUAUGAGCUAGUCGGAUUAACUUGAUUAAUUCUUAGUUAUGGUCAAUUUAAAUAUGUACAAACGAUACAGUAAUGUGUGUUUCAUUAAUGAACAUAAUUAAGUUCCUCAGACUUGUACAAUAUUAUGUUUUUGAUCCAGUUUAAAUGUCUAUGUAUGCUUUUCCUAUCACCAGGGGACAGACAAAGUCAGAGCACUUAGAUUAACAAGACUUUGCAAAGAGCACAGUUUCACAAGUGAAGAAUUUUCAAAGCUGCCCAAUCUAAGGUAUUUGGAAUUAGAGUGCAAGAACUUGGUAGGGGACUUUAAGAAUCUUCUCUCCAAGUUAACAUGGCUCUCUUGGAGUAAUUGCCCGUCAGAACUAAACGCGACGAAUUUGUGUCUCAAGAAAUUAGCCGUGCUCAAGCUUUCGGGAAUUAACAUUACUGAAGAUUGGGCUGGAUGGGGGUCAUGCUUGGUACAAACAUUAUAUAGUGCAGUUUACUUUUUCUCACAUUUGUUUCACUAACCAAACUUACUAAUUUGCCAUUCUUGACUUGGCUGAUCCUUGGUUUGUUUUUUCAGAUGAGCGAGAACUUGAAAGUUAUAGAAAUUAACUCUGAGUCAGGCUUAAAGAGGAUUCCUGACUUCUCAAAAUGUUUGAAUUUGAAGAGAUUGGUUAUUCGAGAAAGUACAAACUUGCUAGUGGUUGAUGGGUCUCUCUCUAAACUAGAGCACCUGAUGCACUUGGAAAUCAUCUCUAACGGAUUCUUGAAAAGGGACGAUUGCGACCUUUGUCCAGUGUCUUUUGUAUUCGGUAGUCUAAAAUCACUGUCAAAUCUGCAAAUAAGAGGGAUGCACUUGCGAGAACUUCAUCAUUCCAUUGGAGGAAUGACACGUCUAAAGCAUUUGUCUUUAGAUAAUCGUUCUUUGCUUAGAACACUUCCAGACUCCAUUGGAAAUCUUAAAAUGUUGAGGACGAUGAGUCUUAGAGGAACUCCAAUAAAGAAGCUACCGAACACAAUAGGAAAAUUAGAAUCUUUGCUUGGGCUAUAUUUGGACUGGACAAAAAUAAAAAAAUUACCUGUUUCUAUUGAGAAUCUUAAAAAGUUGAGGUCCAUGGACCUUAAUCAUACUCCUAUAAAGAAGCUACCGAACCAAAUAGGAGGGCUAGAGUCUUUGUUAAGGCUAAGUUUACAAGGCACGGAUAUCACAGAAUUACCAAAGGCCAUAGGGAUGCUAAAGAAUCUUGAUAUUUUGGAUGUGAGAUUCUGUGAAAAUAUGGAGGAAGCAAUUCCAAGUGAAAUUGGGGAUCUAUGUUUUUUAAGGUUCCUACAUCUGACAAAGAGCAAGAUUAAGAGAUUGCCCAUGACUAUGAGUAAGCUUUCUCAUCUCCAAACUCUUCGUUUGGAUCAAUGUGAUGAACUUGAACAGUUGCCAAAGCUCCCUGUGAGUUUGAAGGAGUUAAAGAUCUCAUCUAAUUUAUUGUGGACAAACCUUGACCUAUCAUACCUUACUAACUUAACCGAUCUUCAUAUAAGGGGCGAUACUCCUAGGUUGUCGGAAUUCAAACAAGGAGUUCCAAAGAUAGAGUGGAUCGAAGGAUUAUCUAAUCUAAGGGAAUUGACAAUUGUCGUUGGAGAUGUCACAUUUCCUCCGAUUAAUUUGGCUACUCUUUCGCGGCUUUGUAAUCUUGAGAUAACUUGUGUUGACACGCGAUCUCUAAUGGGGCUUCCAUCCAAUCUUAUAGUUUUGACUCUAUAUGAUUUGAAGUCACCUAUGGGAAGGUCACUCUUUUCCAAUUUGACAAAUCUGCGCAGUUUGCGCCUUGUUAAUUGUCGGCUGAGGGAAGUCGAAUUUGAUGAUGUGCUUGGACAGCAACUGAAGAAACUCUCUGCUUUGCGUUUGAAGAAUGGUUGCCUUGGGUUGAUGGAGACUCGAGGUCUGGAGAAAUUGGAAUCAUUAGAGGCAUUAUCUUUUUUGGGAUGCGAUUCCUUGAAAGAGUUGCCUGAUUUAUCAAAAUUGAAGAAGCUGUUUUGUGUGGAUGUGCCGGAUCAUCUUCCGGAAAAGUUGGUUUAUCCACGUCUUCCAGACACGUGGGAAGAAGGCCAGAUUUCAUGUCAUCAGACCAACCAAAAGGCAAAAAUUUACAUCAGUAACCGCAAUUUAAAUUGGGACUGACUGACUGAGCGUUUCUUCUUCUGAGUCUCUUUCUUCACGCCUCUCUCACUCUACUCUCCCUCUCUCUCUCUCUCUCUCUCCGACGAACUCUCUCACUCUACCCUCCCGGACGCGACCUCCCAGUCUCUCUGUGCUUUCCCUCUUUCCGACCGGCGAACCACCGCCAGCAACCGACGUGAUGUCUCACAUCAACCUAGUGUUCUGAUGGUGGAUCUUGAGUUGCAUAUGGAGGACGACGUGAUGUCUCACAUCAACCUCGAUGGCUUCUUCGGCGACCUCCCUGAGGCCGGCGACGUCAUCGGCGCUUGCUCCUCGACGAACGCGUCGUUCGUCUCCAGACUCGGGGCUCUCGUGGUUCGACGAGGUCAAGAACAUCCUGAUGAAGGACGACGACGUCCACGUGCUUGCUGAGCCGGGGGCUAAGCGGGCCGUGCCGAAGGGACUCAAGCUUCCCGCGGACCUCCGCUUCCCCUGCCCCUCGCCGCCGGCUUCUCCACGCCUCCUGCAAGAUGCGGCAGCAGGGCCUCAGGUGCUCCGCCAGUUGGCUGAUUUCCUCGGUUUCCAUGGCGCGUGUUAGGGAUUCUCAUUUUAUUUUAUUUUGUUUCGUGUGUGGAUGAUUACUAGUUCUGGGAGCAGGAGGCCGCAGGUCAAGAAGGCUUUGCUGGAUAGGACGCCGUCGAUUGUGGUUAAUGGAGAGGCCGAAGAGGACGCUGCUUUGGCGGAGAGCGUGUGUAGUGCUGAUCGGGAAAUUGUGGCUGAUGAUUCUGAGGACGAUGAUUCCGAUGGAGUCGUGAUUGAUGUGGAGAACUAGAAUGCUUAUAGAAUAGAAGCUUUUGACAGUACGGCAAUGGAGACAAAUUUGGUAUUUUUCUUGUAGCAUUUCUAGUGCUUUCUUGUGAAUUUUUUUUUUUUAAUUUAUCUGGAUAAGCGUAUGCAAUGUGCACAUUGGUUCUAGUUCAUAAAUAUCUCGCAAAUUAAGAAUUUGAGAGCAUGUUUUCUUUGGGGGAGCUGCAAUUGUUUUACAGCUUCAAGCACAGUGACACUAUUGAUGGUUGAUGUUGCAGUGUCGCCUAUCCUAUAUAUGGGCUUUACUUUUUGCACUAUAGCAUCAAUGUGGUUGAAUUGCAAUACAUCUACAUUGCUCAAUUAUUAGAUUCUUCUUUCCUUAAAAUUGAGGGCUUAGUUCUCUUGCCCUUCCUUUUUUGUUCUGUUAGGGACUAGAGAGCGAAUGCUCCAUUUGCCUCUGUAAUUUAUUUUCCCGUCUGUUUUACCUAUAGGAAAUAUGCUCUCAUUCCUAGUCUUUUGAAUAUCUGUACAUGUUCUUAUAUGGUGUGAGUUGUUACUUCUAUAGUAGGCCAUCAAUAGUUCUUUAAAGAUAUAUUAUUAAUUCCUUCAAUUUUUGUGGCUUCAGGCACCAUGUUUCGUCGAUGGAGUAACUCUCACCACAGUGAGGAAGAUGACUCGCUGCAGUUCGAAUCUAAGGUAAUUAAGAUUUCAAAAUUACAGCGCUUGUAAGGACUGGACAUUUCGUAGAGUGUAUCCCCUUGAUCGAUUGCUCAUAUUUAUCUAAUUUCCAUGGCUGACCAUGUGGUUGACCUGAGUCAGUAGUUUUUCUGGCCAUGAGAAACCAUGAAGUGGCCUUUUUUGCAGAUAAUACUUUACCGUCAAUACACCCCCUUAUCUGUACCCCUUUCAUAUAUGUGUUUAAUGUCUCAUGAUGCAUUGAUUUUCUAGAGUUGUGGAAUAAUAAUCAAUGUUCCUUCCCAGAAUAUAGGAGAAAUACAGUUAAAUUUUAAGUACAUUUGCAUGCAGGUGAAUGAGCAAGCUAUGGGACCACUCUCUGGGCGAAUUUUGAAGUAUUGUGAUGAUGCAUGCUUGAGGAGAUACUUGGAAGCUUGAAACUGGAAUAUAGAUAAAGCAAAGAAAAUGUUAGAUGAGACGCUAAACUGGAGAUCAGCUUUUAAGCCUGAGGAAAUCAGCUGGGUAAGAUGGCUAAGUGUCCCAGUUAAUGAAUACCUGCGUGAGUAUUGUGAUAGAUAAUUUAUGCCGAUGACUAUUGCCUGUUAAACUUCAGUAGACAUCUGAUCCUUGUUACCCUAACUAUUGUGUUGACCUGAUAAUUAAUUUUAUUUUGUAGACUAAGUUCCUGGUAGGGAGAAGAACUGAUUUUGUGAAUGAAUGCGAAUGCAGGAUUGGUGUUAGUCAACAAUAAUUGAGUGGCUCUCAUUUUUUGUCUUCUAUGAGACUGCCAUGAUGCAGUGAUAUGAAGCAUUAGGUGUUGGAAAGGUUUAUUGUUCAAGGGACAAUAAGUGUCCCAGCAUAUUUUUUCACUCAUGCUGUUUCCAAAAUCAUCAUUUAGACCGUUUUAGUUGACAAUAUGGCUAAUGAACAGGUUGUGUUAGACAUGCAAUAGUACUUAUUGGGAUGCUGAAUAAUGCUUCCAUUUGACAAUGUGAUGCUUACUAAAACAGGAAGAAGUUGCUAUUGAAGGUGAAAUUGGAAAAGUAUACAGAGCAAGUUUUCAUGAUCGUUAUGGAAGGAGUGUUCUUAUAUUGAGACUUGGAAUGCAAGUAUUUAUCCAUCCUGUUGUUGCUAAUUUCUGUAGCUUUUAUUUGCUCUUCCCUAUUAACUUGGCAAUAAAUCUUGCAG